AUUGAACGCUGGCGGCAGGCCUAACACAUGCAAGUCGAGCGGAUGAAGGGAGAUUGCUCCUGGAUUCCGCGGCGGACGGGUGAGGAAUGCCUAGGAAUCUGCCAGGUCGUGGGGGAUAACGUCCGGAACCGGGCGCUAAUACCGCAAACGUCCUGAGGGGGAAAAUGGGGGAUCUUGGGACCCCGCGCUAUCGGCUGAGCCUAGGUCGGAUUAGCUGGUUGGUGGGGUAAGGGCCUACCAAGGCGAAGAUCCGUAACGGUACUGAGAGGAUGAUCAGUAACCUGGGAAUGGAGAAACGGUCCAGACUCCUACGGGAGGCAGCAGUGGGGAAUAUGGGCCAAGGGGCGAAAGCCUGAGCCAGCAAGGCCGCGGGUGGGAAGAAGGUCUGCGGUUUGUAAAGCACUUUAAGGUGGGAGGAAGGGCAGUAAGUUAAUACCUUGCUGUUUGGACGUUACCAACAGAAUAAGCACCGGCUACCUUCGU
rnacentral:rRNA from 1 species